rnacentral:lncRNA from 1 species
UCAGUGAACUCACAGCGGCACGUCGGAGAUUUUAUUCUCAUUGUUUGUGACGGAGUUGAAACCAAAUGAAAUGUAACUAAAAUAAAUCGAACAUCAGCCUAAUACAUGUGAGAAAACUAAUAUAUCAAACUUGAAUUCAUCUGGAAACAUAUCCAUAUAAAAGAAUUAUAUUUUCCGACAGCGCGACGUGUCCGCUUGUUUCAAUUCCGUCUCAUUCAAUAACUUAGCCACAGUCAAUUAGUGGUUUAAUCAUUUAGUUACCUUACCUCACUUGAAGUAUGUAACAGCAAUAUUAUUAGCAACUUUGCCAUGGUUCACUCAUAGAGUGUGCUGUUUUUGUUGAAGAAAACCAUUACCUGAGUUGACAACAUCCAGGAUUCUCCAGUAAGACUUACCCACCACAGCAGCCAACUAGCUUUGUUGUGCCAAAAGGAUUUUUCCUAAGGACUUUCAUUUUUUUAACCAUCGGCUGUUGUACAAGAUAAGUUCUUAUUUACGUUAAUUAUUUACUUUGGGUAAUCUAGAUUUGUUACUCUGUAAACUAAUUGUAUGCAUACAAAUAGGUGAACUAAGUGGUACAUAUUUUCGUGAUAGAUAGGUUUUAGGUCGUUGUUUUUUCUUUCUUUGGUUCUAUAUAAUUAGUAAUUUGCUUAAAUAAAUAAAAUCUGGUCUUCCUUUUAAUAAUAACUAUAAAUCAUUGUAUCUUAAAAUUUAAUAGGGAAUCGGGGGUAAAAUUUUGUCGAGGUUUUAAAAUAGGGAAUAUAUCUUGUAGGUUUUUACAUUGUAUAUAGAGUCACUGACCCACUCAUUAUAUAAUUACUUAUUAGUGUUUUUGCUAGGUGAGAUCUUUAUUAUUUUUGGUAACCGUAGCGUUCUAGUCGUGCAUCUCACCUAGACGAGUUCAAUUUAGGAAAUAAUUACUAACUUUUUAGUUGUAAGGACUUAGUGCUAUUCUGACGGACUUUUGAUUUGGAUUUUGAUUUUAAUACUUUUGCGUGGCCAGUGAUAGUGGAUAAUUGCUUGUUGAGUGGCCUUUGCGGUCCUAUUUGAUCUCUUCCCUAUCCACUAUCACUGUUAUUACGUUGCGUUAUAGGUAAAGUGUUAAUAUUUAAUAUUUAUUAUUAAUAUAUUUGUAUGUAUUAA